rnacentral:rRNA from 1 species
CCCUCUUUUUCCCGCUUUCCUCGGAUUUACUGGGCGUAAAGCGUGAGUAGGUGGCUCGCUAAGUCGAUUGUGAAAGCCCUGGGCUCAACCUGGGAAUUGCAGUCGAUACUGGAGAGCUCGAGUUCGGUAGAGGGUGACGGAAUUCCCGGUGUAGCGGUGAAAUGCGUAGAUAUCGGGAGGAACAUCGAUGGCGAAGGCAAUCACCUGGGCCUGAACUGACACUGAGACACGAAAGCGUGGGUAGCAAACAGGA